ensembl:snoRNA
AUCCUUUUGCGGUUCAUAAGCAUGAGGACUGGAUUUGCACACUGCUGUCUGAGAUGCGUCUCCCUGAAACCUUGUUACCACAUUGACACAUUACUUGUCUGAUG